GUGUCAGCAGCCGCGGUAAUACGAACUGCGCGAACGUUAUUCGGAAUCACUGGGCUUAAAGGGUGCGUAGGCGGCACGGCAAGUUGGGUGUGAAAGCCCUCGGCUCAACCGAGGAAUUGCGCCCAAAACUGCCGCGCUCGAGGGAGACAGAGGUGAGCGGAACUUAGGGUGGAGCGGUGAAAUGCGUUGAUAUCCUAAGGAACACCGGUGGCGAAAGCGGCUCACUGGGUCUCUUCUGACGCUGAGGCACGAAAGCUAGGGGAGCGAACGGGAUUAGAUACCCCGGUAUUCCUAGCUGUAAACGAUGAGCACUGGGUCGGAUAGUCUUCCAUAACUUUCCGGCCGAAGCGAAAGUGUUAAGUGCUCCGCCUGGGGAGUAUGGUCGCAAGGCUGAAACUUAAAGGAAUUGACGGGG
rnacentral:rRNA from 1 species